AUGCAGAUGGUAUCCUCGGGUCGCACCGCGGUGAACAUUAAUGGGGAGAUCGACCCAUUCUUCCCCACAUUUUGUGGGGUGCGCCAGGGUGAUCCUUUCUCCCUGUUCCUGUUUAACAUGGUUGUCGAUGCUCUAGCAACCAUCCUAGAUAAAGCCAAGGCUGCGGGUCACAUUAAGGGUAUAGUCCCGCAUCUUGUUGGGGGAAACAGGAUCUCCCUUCCCCAAUAUGUGGAUGACACUAUUAUCAUUGUGGAAGGCUCGACGAGUGAUAUCACGAACCUCAAGUUCCUUUUGCUGUGCUUCCAGCAGAUGUCUGUCCUUAGGAUCAACUUUGACAAGAGUGAGGUGACGGUUUUGGGCUACUCCCAAGAUGAGCGAGAGAGCAGAGCGGAUCGGCUUAACUGCAGCUCGGGUGCUUCCCCACGACUUAUCUGGGGAUACCCAUUAGUGACUCCAGGCUCACGGUGGCCGAGCUUCGCCCCAUGGUGGGGAAGCUCCAGCACCGUAUCGAGCCCUGGCAGGGUCGAUGGCUCUCGAAAGCGGCCCGUAUGGUGCUCAUUAACUCAUCCCUCUCCAGCCUACCCUUAUUCAUCAUGA
rnacentral:rRNA from 1 species